UGGGGAAUCUUGCGCAAUGGAGGAAACUCUGACGCAGCCAUGCCGCGUGAGUGAUGAAGGCCUUCGGGUUGUAAAGCUCUGUCUAAGGGGAAAAAUGAUGUUAUGUCGAAUAGGCAUGGCAAGUGAUGGUACCCUUAAAGAAAACACCGGCUAACUCCGUGCCAGCAGCCGCGGCAAUACGGGGGGUGUAAGCGUUGUUCGGAAUUACUGGGCGUAAAGGGCGUGCAGGCGGCCACCGCAAGUUGAAUGUGAAAUCUCCGGGCUUAACCCCGGGAAGUGCGUUCAAGACUGCGGGGCUUGAAUACGGG
rnacentral:rRNA from 1 species